GCUCCUACAGCAGGGCGUAGGAAAGAUUCCGUGGUGAGACUUGGAUAGUCCCCCUCCCCCAAUGCCUUGAUCCAGAAGUGUCCCAGACGGCCCCACUCCUUCAAAGAGUAUGAGGCUAUAAUAAGGGACUGGGACCAGCCUCACAGCCCAGGUACAGUGUGCGCAAGCUCAGGACCUGAUCUCAAGACCUGCCCUCUCGAAAUCUCUGAGCCUUCGAGAGGUUCCUGCAAGCCUUAUGGAGCCUAGGCCACUACCACCAACUUGCACUGAGCUCAAUGACCAACCGCACUGAUAAACAGACACAGGAGCGCACGUGCGCAUGCUUGGAGUCUACUGGGAAGCCCAGCCAUUGGCUCUACCCUUGGCAGGAGGCACCGGAAGUCCCAGCCAGUUCCAGGUACCCCUAGUGGUUGGAACGGAAAGCCCUGUAGAGGCCGUUGGAAGGCGUUGGCUGUUCCAGCCCAGUGCCUUUCAGUUAGGCUGGCUCCACAGAGGAUGCAGCAGCUAGCCUCGAUAAGGCUCAGUGGGGGCAGUGUGGGGAGGCCCAUCUUCCCAAACCAUAACUGUUAUCAAGACCUUGAACUGUUGCAUAUCUAUAUAUUCUUGUGGUGACAGUGGCCUUAGGGGAACAUUAGGUAGGAGCUGUGCAAGCUCCGUUAAAUAACGUCACUGACUUACCUGGUGGCCUUUUGGACCGAUUCUGGAAAGUUUUCAAACCCGUCACAGGAAAGGGACAGUAAACAGGGAAACGUGUGAGCUCUUGGCUUGAGCUGACCACGCCGCAGAUACUUCCUUUGAAGCACAAGGCUGAAGAGGUUUAGCCAGGUUUUUCUGACAAGAGAGCUGGCAUGCCUCCUGCUUUUUAAGUGAUCUCGCUUUAGUGAAGCCCAGAACCAACGAAGUAAGGCUUUUCAAGGGCCCGUAGCUUUACCCUAUACCACCAGGCUCCUAUACCUAGUUCACAGGGUUCUGCCAAGCCCGAGGAGACCAGGGCUUUCUGUGUAUUUUCCUCCUGCUCCUUUUUGUAUCAAAUCCUUGUCCUUAAGUAUGAGAGGUAUUCUUUCUAGACAACAAGAAAAAAUAAUUCCCCAAGUGACUCUUAAGUCACUUUGAUGUCAUUGGAGAAGUCACUGUAACAAGAAUAUCAUGAGGCUCAAGGGAUUAAACUAAAGAAUAUUUUCUUCCAGAAAUUAGGCCCUGGGAGGGAAACUUCCUUUUAUCCUUUAAGGUGGGUGUAAUGGCCUGUAGGAAGCUUUGAAGCUUGAGACAGUAAUUUAUGACAAUCUUAAGUGCAAAUCCUGGUGUGAUUUUAGACUUCAGUCUGGGUGUGGAAACACCAGCAUGGACAGGCACUGUGGGAUAGAAAAGCGGGAGGUGUCCUUCCUGGAGCCACAAACUGGGAAAAUGAAAUGGGGUUCCCAGGAAAAGGCAGCAGGGGUGUUUAAGAAAGUCUAUCUUUAUCCUGUGGUGGGGUCAUUCUUAAGUCUCAUUUUAAAGUAGCUUAGACCUAUAUAUAAAUAACCACAUGGUCAUUGAGAGAUGAUGAUUCAUUAAUUUUAUUUCUGGGUGUCCUGACCCAAAGACACAGAGAAAUAGACCCCUCCCCCUUUCGGCAGUUACAACCUCGUCAUUCUAAGUGAUCCUGAAAAAGGAAACAACACAGGGGAGAUGAUGAAACAGCGGUUUAGAUAUAAUCCUAAGGGCUCUUAAGAAUUUGGGAUUUCACCUUGUGGGAAUCGAAUACCCUCUAAGUGUUGUGGUCCAGGAUGUGGUGCCGAGCAGCGGAGAUGGGUGCAGCUAACGCACGGUCUUUGUUUGAUCCAUUGUUCUCAUGAACCACACCCUCCUGGUUUGUCUAGAUCCUCUUCUAGUGCUUGACCAUUAACUGUGUCAGCUGCCCACCUUCCAAAAUUAGAAAGCCUUCUUUCAUUUUUGAUGAUUUUCUUUCUCUCUGCUCUCCAUGUUAGCAUCACCCAAAUGCCCGGGGCUCAUGGCUACUAUGUUCCCUGUCCUGUCUGGGACUUCUGUCCUCUGCGCUCAGUGAUAGAGUGCUGCAUGUAGAUGGGAACCUGGGGUCGUGUCCUGCUACAGCGUAUGCUAAGUCCUCUCCAGCUGAGAUCACAGAUGGAAAACAAUAAGCUUCGGAGCCCAGAUGAGAUCUAAGAAGGGGAGGGGGGGAGAUUGGACUGUGAUGAGAAAAUGGGGUGGAAACACAAAGAAUGUGGAUUUGGCACAAAUCCAAAGUUUUUCUUGUGUUAUGAGUUGUUUUGGUGGCCCUUGCUGUCACUCAAGCCACCAAUUGUUGCUCAUUGGGUGAAGCUACAGACCCUUGAAAGAGUCAGUUUCUAGGUUGAUGGUAAUUGGAAGAGCUUCUGAGUGAUGCCCGAGUCGCAGAAGGGAGUGAGUCACUUGUGAACUGAUGGAUGCCUCCGUGGGUGCUUAGAUGCCCUGCGUAGUUAUUGCUUCUCUUUCACAUAAACUUAAGUCGGUCUGAUCCUUGCCAUAAAGAAAAACUGUAUUCAGAAGAGAUGAAACUAAAAAGAGUGUUAUCAAAGCAGAAACCCAGAUGAGAAUGUGGAUAGAAAGUAGAAAAUGGUUCCAGCAACAGAGAUGGGGGGGCGGGCAGAAGAUGAAGAAUUAUCAAGAAAAAGAGGAACAUCCUAAGGAAAAGGGCAAAGGGAAGGUGGGCCAGACUGCUUUAUGAAACCAGACAGAACCAGGAAAGACGAAAGCUUUUCCUCUCCCUCUACUUCCUGCCCUCCUCCUCCUCCCUUUCAAGCCCUUGCCAGGUGCUAGCUAGGUAGGUACAGAGAUCGGACGAACAGACUCCGAUUCUACAGUGGAAGGGGUACAUUUUGGAGCAGGGACGGAAAGCGUGUCUCCACUGGCUGCCUUUCCUGGGUAUGGGGAAGGAGGGAUGGCCUCGGUGGUCCUGAGGCUGAGGCCAGAAAGCAGCUGGCUUGUGUCGGCCAAGGGCUCAUACCAUCUUUGUUGUUUCUCUUAGGGCAGUCGCUGGGGUUGUUAUAGGCACAGAAGAGGCAAUGGGAACCAGUCGGUGGAGCAUUCCUGUGUCAUGGUUGUACCUGUGGUCACUGGCAGGGAGAGCUGUGCCUCUCUUUUCUCGAAGUGCCCUCCAUGCUGCUGUGGGUUGUCUAGGAGGGGUUCACCUUGACUUUCACUGUGCCUAUCAGGCAAAGUGGAAGAGGGAGGAAAAGACAUGUGUAAAACCACAGGUGGUGGUGGGGAAACCCACCUUGAAUUCCCCCAAUUAAAACAGGAAACCAAAGGCAAAGAAUUUGCCAUCUAAUGUAUGGGCCCCUGCAGGCUGGGAAACCUGAGUAGCACAAGAAAAGGUACUACUCUUGUGGGAGAUGAUAUUAGUGCUGAAGGGCAGCGUGAGGGGCCUUACUGAAGCUGCUAGGUUUUCACCUCUAGGGUCUUUGGGAGGUGUAUAUGUUCCGUUUUACGCGCUCUGAAGACUCCUGUACAUGGACUAUCCAAGAUAUGAGGGAGCCCAAGGAUCAUUAGCCAUCUAGUUUGGGACUGUGAAGCAGGCACUGAGAAAUUAGCUGUGAGCUUCCAGUUUAGGGAAUCUAAUGGUUGACUUGCUCUGGGGAACUCUUUCCACCAUGGUCUUGUCAAUGCAUGGGUUUCCUGGCCAGAGUUCAAAAUAAACCAAAACAAGCAACCAAAGGCACAGGUAGGCAUUACUUUUAGUGGUAUCACUUCCAUUUUACCCGAUGCUUUGAGGAAUGUUUGAUGUUUGUGGUUCUGUAAUGAGGGAUGGUGUUCUAGGGAGGUAGCUACUAAAGUGAUAGCAUCACCAUGUUUUUCUCAUUGGCCAUGGGCCUUUGAAACUUUAAUAUUAGCACUGUGCUUGGACAGCAUAUAGUUGCCAAAGACCGAACCCAGACGCACCAGCUUAGUGAUGAUGGCACCAAGCCACACACCUACUCUACUGUUGUUUCUUCAAGGGGACAUCAUCAGAAGAGUUGAAUGCCACAAGGGGGGCCUGGCUCAUGGCUAACUUACUGCUUCCCACCUUGAUUUCUCUGACUGGUUGUGUUUAUGGGCAUUUUGCAAAUUUCCCAGCAUCUGCAUCCUUCAUAAAGUUGGGGAGUUUGUUUUCCAGUUCUUGUAUUUUCCCCUGGGCGAAUGGCUCUUUUUCUUAGGUGUGCUUGCCUCUGCUCCCAACAGUGAGCUGUCCUCUGUGAAGUGACUGAAUAGUUCACAGCUACAGUGAAAAAAGCUCUCAACCCCCCCCCCCAAACAAACCUGCAUGACUUGUGGCUGAUUUCAGGUUGGGGUUGGGUUUGAAAUGGAGUUUAGAGUCUCUAUUCCAAAGUCAGCAAUGUCAAAUAACAAGCUUUCGGGUGUGCUUGCUGGUGGCAGUGCUUGGAGAAUGGAAUUAUAAAUGAUGUGAUGGGUCCAGACUAACUUUACAGGGUCCUGGUGGCAUUCACUGCCAUGCCCCUGUUGAUGGGGUUUGACACAGGGUUUCCCCUUGGGAGUUAGCAAAAAACUUGAUCCCUACCCCAAAAACUCUGCACUUGAACAGAGUACCAAGUCUGUGUUCUUGUUCUGAACCAUGUACACGCUGGAAAAAUCUCCCGACUUCUUUGGGUUUUAGUUUCCUCAUGGGUAAAAUUGGGAGACUAACAUCUACCUCACCGAGUUGUUGUGAGGAUUGAAUAUACUCUGUAACUUUCAUGUUAUGUAAACCAUUGUGAUUGAAAGCCAGCUUUAAGCAUGAAUUGGCCAUAUGAAGAGCAUGUAUGUAGACAUUUCUGCCACCACACAUGCUGUUUGUGUGCUGUCUGCUUAAACCUGGAGUAAAAAUGGUUCUAAGUACAUGUGGGUGUAUAAAAAGGGUUUGUAGCUUUCAUGAGCUUCCUAAAGGGGCUCCAGACCCUCAAAAUUUGGAAAUCAGUGCUUCAGACUUGAAGAAGCUGCAUUAAAAAAUAGUGAUUGCUUCUAGAAGUUUCCUUUGAACAUGACCACAGGACUGACUGUAAUAAUUUUAGAGGCAGAUCAUUGAUGCGUUCUGGUUUCUCAGUAUUUUGUUUGUCUGUUUUGUGAUGUCAAGGGUUGAACCCAAGGUUUUAUAACAUGCUAGAUAUGCACUUUAUGACUGAGCAUUUGAGACAGGAAAUGUCGGACGUAUCGAUGGCUUAUCAUCAGAUUAUCCAACUGUCCUUCAUUUGAAGGUGAACAUAAAGCAAAAUCGUUAAAUAUUUGACCCAAAGGAAGUUGACAAGAAUGUGAUCUGGAUAAUCUCCAGAGAGACUCAUUUUGAUCCACUAGGAAAGGGAGAACAAAAUGAGACUUGGAUGGAGUAUCGGGGCUGAAAUGAGUGAGCAUCAAAGCAAGGAGGCGAUCGGACUUGAGAAUUUUCAUCCUGGCCAGCAGGGAAGCACAUGGUCCUAUUGGGGAGGGAGUCAACGUAAUCCAAGCUGGAAGAAAGCUGCUGGGCGACUAUUUAUCCCAAGGUCUCCGACUCCCAGGGACCAGACACUCAUGGUCCACAUUCUGUCUUGGGACUGACUUUUCAGAGCAUGCAGUCCUUCAGGGAGGGAACUUUGUCACAGGAGUGAAUGCUGUGCACCAUCCCUCUGUGCACUGGUGAUGUGGUCCAGCUUCUUCAGGAAACAGCCAUGCAGAUGCCUCAGGACUCAGGUCCCAUUGCAGAAGAUGAAUGGUUGCCAACCAGAGAUCCAGACAAAGGCCUCAGGAUGUGAUAUCUGGAAGUUUUUCUGGCAUGGGAAGGGGUAUACACGUUGCAUCUCGUGAGGUGUCUGUCAACUCACAAUGUAUUUCAAAAAUAUUAGAACACUAUAAUGUGUACACUUGAUGACAUAUGAACUGAAGAAAAUGUGUAUAAAACAUCUUCCAAACAUAAAGGAAAUAUUUGGUUCUGUA